rnacentral:rRNA from 1 species
GUUCUUGAAAUUUAUAAUAAAUUUGGCGGUAUUUUAGUCUUUUCAGAGGAACCUGCCCUAUAAUUGAUGAUCCACGAUUAAUUGUACUUAAAUUAAAAGUUUAUAUAUCGUCGUAGUUGAAUACCUUAUAAGAGGGAAAGUGUUCAAAUUUUAUUAUAUAUAAAUUAAAUCAGAUCAAGAUAUAGCUUAUAUUUAAGAAGAGGUGGGUUACAAUAAAUAUAUUUAUGGUUAUGGUAAUUAAAAUUAUUAUUUAAAUUGGAUUUGAAAGUAAUAUAUUUUAGUUAAAAUAUAUGAUUAAAGCUCUAAAGUAUGCACAUAUCGCCCGUCGCUUCCAAUGAUUAAGAAAUUGGAAUAAGUCGUAACAUAGUAGGUGUACCGGAAGGUGUACCUAGAUUGACAGAUUAAAGCUUUAUAAAAGUAUUUUAUUUACAUUAAAAAGAUAAUUGUUAAAAUCAAUUUAAUUUGAAUUUAAAAAUUUAUUAUUUAUUUAUUUAUUUUUUAAUUUUAAAGAAAAUAUUUUUAUGUUUAUUUAUAAAUUUAGAUAAAAUUAUCAUUAAUUAUAGUUUAUUAGUAUAGUGAUAGAAUAUUGAAAAAUUUGAAAAAUAAAAUAUUGAUAAGAAAAAUUUAAUUUUUGUACCUUGUGUAUCAGGGUUUAUUAAAUAAUAAUUAUAUAGUUUAAUUUUCUCGAAUUUAAAAGAGUUAAAAGGUUAUAAAUUUUAUUGUAAAAUAAAUAUUUUAAAUAAUUUUUUAGUAAUGAAACGUUAUUCGUUUUUAAAUUUAUCUAGUUUUUUAAGAAAUAAAUUUAAUUUAGUUAAUUAUUUAAAUUAAGAUAAUUUUUUUUAUUUUAUAUUGAUAAUAAUUAAUUAAUAUUUUAAGGGAUAAGCUUUAAAAUAAAAUUUUUAUAAAUUUAAAUUUUUUUUAUGUAUAUAAAUUAAUAGAAUUAGAAUUUUUUAUUUUUAAUAAUAUGUUAUAAUAAAUUUAUAUUUAUAUUAAAUUUUUAUAUAAUUUUAAAUUGUUUAUUAAAAUUAUUUAUUUAAUAAUAAAAAUAGAUGAAAUAAUGAUAAAAUUAGUAUAAAUUUAUGUUGAAUUAAAUUAAAAAUUUUAGGUUAAAUUAAGGAAUUCGGCAAAUUAUUUUUCUGCCUGUUUAUUAAAAACAUGUCUUUUUGAUUAUAAUUUAAAGUCUAACCUGCCCUAUGAGUAUUUAAAUGGCCGCGGUAUUUUGACCGUGCAAAGGUAGCAUAAUCAUUAGUUUCUUAAUUAGGAACUAGAAUGAAUGGUUGGACAAGAAAAAUACUGUCUCAAUUUAAUUUGAAUUAGAAUUUUAUUUUUAAGUUAAAAAGCUUAAAUAAUUUUAAAAGACGAGAAGACCCUAUAGAGUUUUAUAUUAAAUUUUAAUAAUGAAAAAAAAGAAUUUAGUUUAAUUAUUUAAGUUUAGUAUUUAUAGAAAGAAUGAUUAAAAAAUUAAAAUAACUUUUUUUAAAUUAAAACA